rnacentral:rRNA from 1 species
GACGAACGCUGGCGGCGUGCUUAACGCAUGCAAGUCGAACGGGUCUGCCCUGUUUUUUGCGGGGUGGGUCAGUGGCGAACGGGUGAGUAACACGUGAGUAACCUGCCCCUCACUUCUGGAUAACCGCUUGAAAGGGUGGCUAAUACGGGGUGUUCUGGCUGUGCCGCAUGGUGUGGCUGGGAAAGAUUCACUUUUGUGGUGUUUUGGUGGGGGAUGGGCUCGCGGCCUAUCAGCUUGUUGGUGGGGUGAUGGCCUGCCAAGGCUUUGACGGGUAGCCGGCCUGAGAGGGUGGGCGGUCACACUGGGACUGAGAUACGGCCCAGACUCCUGCGGGAGGCAGCAGUGGGGGGUAUUGCACAAUGGGCGGAAGCCUGAUGCAGCGACGUCGCGUGAGGGAUGGAGGCCUUCGGGUUGUGAACCUCUUUCGCCGGUGAAGAAGGUCCUGCUCUUUGUGGUGGGGUUGACGGUAGCCGGGUUAUGAAGCGCCGGCUAACUACGU